rnacentral:rRNA from 1 species
UGAGUAAUGUCUGGGAAACUGCCUGAUGGAGGGGGAUAACUACUGGAAACGGUAGCUAAUACCGCAUAACGUCGCAAGACCAAAGAGGGGGACCUUCGGGCCUCUUGCCAUCAGAUGUGCCCAGAUGGGAUUAGCUAGUAGGUGGGGUAAUGGCUCACCUAGGCGACGAUCCCUAGCUGGUCUGAGAGGAUGACCAGCCACACUGGAACUGAGACACGGUCCAGACUCCUACGGGAGGCAGCAGUGGGGAAUAUUGCACAAUGGGCGCAAGCCUGAUGCAGCCAUGCCGCGUGUGUGAAGAAGGCCUUCGGGUUGUAAAGCACUUUCAGCGAGGAGGAAGGUGGUGAGCUUAAUACGCUCAUCAAUUGACGUUACUCUCCCAAAAAAAAAACGGCUAACUCCGUGCCAGCAGCCGCGGUAAUACGGAGGGUGCAAGCGUUAAUCGGAAUUACUGGGCGUAAAGCGCACGCAGGCGGUUUGUUAAGUCAGAUGUGAAAUCCCCGGG